rnacentral:rRNA from 1 species
AGAGUUUGAUCCUGGCUCAGGAUGAACGCUGGCGGCGUGCCUAACACAUGCAAGUCGAGCGAAGCGCUUGAAUCUGAUUCUUCGGAUGAGGAUUCUUGUGACUGAGCGGCGGACGGGUGAGUAACGCGUGGGCAACCUGCCUUACACAGGGGGAUAACAGUUAGAAAUGACUGCUAAUACCGCAUAAGACCACAGUACUGCAUGGUACAGUGGUAAAAACUCCGGUGGUGUAAGAUGGGCCCGCGUCUGAUUAGGUAGUUGGCGGGGUAACGGCCCACCAAGCCGACGAUCAGUAGCCGACCUGAGAGGGUGACCGGCCACAUUGGGACUGAGACACGGCCCAGACUCCUACGGGAGGCAGCAGUGGGGAAUAUUGCACAAUGGGGGAAACCCUGAUGCAGCGACGCCGCGUGAGCGAUGAAGUAUUUCGGUAUGUAAAGCUCUAUCAGCAGGGAAGAAAAUGACGGUACCUGACUAAGAAGCCCCGGCUAACUACGUGCCAGCAGCCGCGGUAAUACAUACGGGGCAAGCGUUAUCCGGAUUUACUGGGUGUAAAGGG